CCUACGGGAGGCAGCAGUGAGGAAUAUUGGUCAAUGGGCGCGAGCCUGAACCAGCCAAGUAGCGUGAAGGAUGACUGCCCUAUGGGUUGUAAACUUCUUUUAUAUAGGAAUAAAGUGAGGUAUGCAUACCCUCUUGUAUGUACCUUAUGAAUAAGGAUCGGCUAACUCCGUGCCAGCAGCCGCGGUAAUACGGAGGAUCCGAGCGUUAUCCGGAUUUAUUGGGUUUAAAGGGAGCGUAGAUGGGUUGUUAAGUCAGUUGUGAAAGUUUGCGGCUCAACCGUAAAAUUGCAGUUGAUACUGGCAGUCUUGAGUACAGUUGAGGUAGGCGGAAUUCGUGGUGUAGCGGUGAAAUGCUUAGAUAUCACGAAGAACUCCGAUUGCGAAGGCAGCUUACUAAACUGCCACUGACAUUGAUGCUCGAAAGUGUGGGUAUCAAACAGGAUUAGAUACCCUUGUAGUC
rnacentral:rRNA from 1 species